rnacentral:rRNA from 1 species
CCUACGGGAGGCAGCAGUAGGGAAUAUUGCUCAAUGGGGGAAACCCUGAAGCAGCAACGCCGCGUGGAGGAUGAAGGUGUUCGGAGUGUAAACUCCUGUUGUUAGAGAAGAGAAUGACGGUAGCUAACGAAUAAGCACCGACUAACGCCGUGCCAGCAGCCGCGGUAAUACGGAGGGAGCAAGCGUUACUCGGAAUCACUGGGCGUAAAGAGCGCGUAGGCGGGAUAGCAAGUCAGAUGGGAAAUCCUAUGGCUUAACCAUAUAACUGCAUUUGAAACUGUUAUUCUAGAGUAUGGGAGAGGUAGUUGGAAUUCUUGUUGUAGUGGUCAACUCCGU